rnacentral:lncRNA from 1 species
CAGCCAGAAAGUAUUGCACAAAAAUACUAAGGGGAUACCUGAUCACUGAGUGCUGGGCAGAAAGAUACAGGGAUAGAAACAGGGAACAAAUCCUGGGCAGAACUGAUGCCAAACAACAAUACGGCUGGAAGGAGUGGUUGCAGGAUCUGAGCCAUGGUGCCUCAGGGACAAUGAGCACAUAAUAUGUGGGUUGGUUACGCUUAUUUAACAACUGAGGCAGACAGCAGAAGCAGGAGAAUCUCAUCUAGCUGAUUUCAUCUCAGAAUCUGGUGCACUCUCAUUAUCUCCAUCCUUCCCCUGACUCUGCCUGGUCACCCCUAAUUCACCUAGCUCCUCUUUCUGUACCUGCCCUUUGGGCACAAUUCAUCAGCAGCCUCCCUUUCCCAGUUUAGAACCCAUUUCUUCUCACUUAUUUGACUUCUGCUCCUGAGCCUUCUGGGACCUCAGUCCCUUCCACUGGUCAUCAGUACUCAUUAUUCCUGACAUAUAGGAGUCAGGUAUAGAAGAGUGGUGCUCUCAAAUAACCAUUCAAAGCCAGGGAGAACUGGGAGCUGCCAUGAGAUCAUCCUGAGAGGAGCGGCAAUAACCAAAAGGCAACCAGGCAGGCAGAGGGGCUUUAGGCUAGCAGCCAAGGCAGUGUCUAAAAGGCUUUGUUUCUGGCUCAGUUCCUGGUGUCAGUGUGGAAGUAACAGAGUGAGCUACACAGGUAGAUACUUUGCAAGUAUCACCUUAGGAAGCUCUAAACAUUAAUAGGUAGCAUGGUAGUUAGGAUGACAGACCAGUAGCCCUGGAGUCCUCAGGCAGAGAGACUUGAGACAUGGCCUCCUUCAGUAAAAAGAAAACCUUCUGGGUUUGUGAUUCCUCCAGACUCCCCAAUCCUCACUUCUCUCACUAGCUGACUGUCCUUGUCCAUCUCUGUGCAUGGGACACAUCAGCCAGUGCUUAUUCACUUAUAUCAGGAAGACCGCUUCAAACAAAGGAAGAGGACAGAUAAUUCUAGGCUUGGAUAGAAUCACCAACUGGCUGCUGUGAAGACCUACUCAUAACUUCCAAAAGCUGUUAUAACCCCUGCCAACCUACAUCUUUCUCCCGUGUUAGAUGCUUCCUGCCCUCGAACAUUGGACUCUAAGUUCUUCAGUUUUGGAACUUGGACUGGCUCUCCUUACUCCUCAGCUUGCAGAUGACCUAUUAUGGGAUCUUGUGAUCAUGUGGCCACCUCCAGCCUGGAGCUGCCUAAGCCAAGAGAGGCCUGUGUGAACCUUUCAGGACACCAUUGAGUUUGGCAUAAAUAUUUUCACCAAGCCCCAUCCCAGCCACACUUGGAAUCUGGAAAUCUUUGUGUGAAAUCAGAGCAUAUUUCCAGCUUAGAAACAGAAACUGAUCCUUACUUCCAGAAGAAGAAAACAGACUGCAUUAAGUGGAUUUAUUUUCAAAUCCUGGCUCAGCCACUUAUUAUUCAAUUUCCAGUAAAUUUCUUCAUCUUUUAUACUCUCA